rnacentral:rRNA from 1 species
UAGGGAAUUUUCCACAAUGGGGGAAAGCCUGAUGGAGCAACGCCGCGUGUGUGAUGAAGGGUUUCGGCUGGUAAAACACUGUUGUAAGAGAAGAAGGACAUUGAGAGUAACUGUUCAUAUGUGUGACGGUAUCUUACCAGAAAGGAACGGCUAAAUACACUGC